rnacentral:rRNA from 1 species
CGGCAAAAGCUCAAAUAUUGAAAUCUGGCUCCUUUAGGGGUCCGAGUUGUAAUUUGCAGAGGAUGCUUCGGGAGCGGCCACGGCUUAAGUGCCUUGGAACAGGACGUCAUAGAGGGUGAGAAUCCCGUCUUGAGUCGUUGGUCCGCGCCCAUGUGAAGCUCCUUCGACGAGUCGAGUUGUUUGGGAAUGCAGCUCUAAGCGGGUGGUAAAUUUCAUCUAAAGCUAAAUAUUGGCCGGAGACCGAUAGCGCACAAGUAGAGUGAUCGAAAGGUUAAAAGCACCUUGAAAAGGGAGUUAAACAGCACGUGAAAUUGUUGAAAGGGAAGCGCUUGCGGCCAGACUCGGGUACAGGGUUCAGCGGGUGCGUGUCACCCGUGUACUCCCUGUUUCUCGGGCCAGCAUCAGUUCUGACGGCCGGUCAAAGGCCUCUGGAAUGUGUCGUCUUUCGGGACGUCUUAUAGCCAGGGGUGCAAUGCGGCUCUGU